CUCAAGGACAUGUAGACAAUACUGGGGACUUUAGGGUGCGCAAAGCACUGGAGGGUUGGAGUAGAGAGCAGGGCCACCGGGUGGACCAAAGGGAGCCAUUGUCACCCCAAGUACUAAAAGGUUUGCGAGACCUAUGGCCGAAUAUAUGCGCAUCACCAUUUGAGGUAGUCCUUUUCCACGCUGCAGCCCUGGCAGCCUUUUUUGGGGCCUUGCGGAUAAGUGAGCUAGUUGCAUCAUCCAAAGGAGACACAACCAGAAGGGCCCUGGAGUUUGGUGACUUAGCUAUUUCAGACAACUUAGUACAGCUCAGGAUCCGACGUUCCAAAACAGAUCAGAGGGGUAAAGGGGUGAUAGUUACAUUGGCUCGCUGCAAUGAUAAGUCACUGUGUCCAGUUACCGCACUGCAUGAUUACAUUAGGCUUAGGGGGGAACAUUCUGGCCCCCUUUUUUGCCACAUAAACCAUUCCCCCUUGACCAAAUACCAGUUUUGGAGAAUAACAUCAGAGGCCUUAAAUAGAUUAGGACUCCCUAAGGCUCGCUUUGGCACUCACUCCUUUCGCAUUGGGGCAGCGUCUACGGCAGCGGCAAUGGGAAUGGCCCCUAGCUCAAUCCAGCGAAUUGGCCGCUGGAGGUCCACUGCUUACAAAAGGUAUGUGCGGCUUCUUAAUCACUAACCAGUCUUAUAUAGGUUUCAGGUGCAGAGCAGGAAGACUGCGAGUCCUGAUCUGUGGACACAGCAUGGUUUAUUGGGCGGCGCGGCAAGCCAGAAGCAGCCCAAUGGGGGCCCAACUGGGCCUGAGCAGAAUGGCCACAGUGGAAUGGCUUGGUAAAAGAGGGCUGAAGUGGAAUGGUCUGCUUCCUCUGCUGUUCAAGGAGCGUGCGGGGCCACCGCCUGAUGUGCUUGUCAUCCACUUGGGGGGGGAAUGACCUUGGUCUGAUGAAAGGCAAGGCCCUCUCAAUACAGGCUUUGCAGGACUUUAAAUGCAUUCAAGCUUCCUGGCCUAACGUAACACUGGUGUGGUCCGCAAUACUGCCUCGCCAGUCCUGGAGGGGUGAAGGGGAUCCACGCGCCAUCGAUCUGGCACGGAGAAAAGUGAACCGGGCAAUGCGCAAGGCCAUGGACGAAGGAUUGGGCCACCUUAUUACACACCGGGGAAUCUUGUUUCGCCGGAAAGAGCUCUACAGGGCUGACGGCAUACACCUCUCGGAGGAAGGAAAUCUUUUAUUCCUGGAGGACUUCCAAAAGGGGCUGGGUGCCAUCUUGGCUGGCCUGGUGGGGGAAAGGGACUAGGCAGACACCUGUCCCUUUCUGUGGCAGGUAGUGGGGGGAAUGUGAGAGUUCGGCGUACACCGUGGCACCCCCUUGUGGUGUAGGUAGAGCUCCGGAACCACCUUUCUAGGGUUACCACGGCCCGGAGGUGGGGAAAGACUCGAUCCUUGAGGUAGACCUGGGAUUUUGGCCCCCACUCCUAAAGUUACACGGCUUGGGUGAGGGUACCUGGGUCUGCCUUCCACCAGAGGUCCAGUCUGGGGAGUAGUCCAGUCAAAUGGACUGCUCUACAGGGGGCAGGUGUUUUCGCCCGAGGGAAGGCUGGGGAGGUUGUCAGAUAAUGACACCUGCCCCAGCUGAUCCCCAACCAGGUUGCUCCCCCCUUUUGUGGUCUUCCAGGAUUUACAAAUAUUUAAUUAGGUCAAUAAAAGUGGCCCAUUAUCAACCCAA